rnacentral:rRNA from 1 species
AUUGAACGCUGGCGGCAGGCCUAACACAUGCAAGUCGAGCGGAUGAAGGGAGCUUGCUCCUGGAUUCAGCGGCGGACGGGUGAGUAAUGGCUAGGAAUCUGCCUGGUUGUGGUGGAUAACGUCCGGAAACGGGCGCUAAUACCGCAUACGUCCUGAGGGAGAAAGUGGGGGAUCUUCGGAUCUCAUGCCAUCAGACGAGUCUAGGUUGGAUUAGCUAGUUGGUGGGGUAAAGGCCUACCAAGGCGACGAUCCGUAACUGGUCUGAGAGGAUGAUCAGUCACACUGGAACUGAGACACGGUCCAGACUCCUACGGGAGGCAGCAGUGGGGAAUAUUGGACAAUGGGCGAAAGCCUGAUCCAGCCAUACCGCGUGUGUGAAGAAGGUCUUCGGAUUGUAAAGCACUUUAAGUUGGGAGGAAGGGCAGUAAGUUAAUACCUUGCUGUUUUGACGUUACCAACAGAAUAAGCACCGGCUAACUUCGUG